rnacentral:lncRNA from 10 species
UGUGACCACGGGCCCUUCCACCUCUGGGCCAGUUUCUUCCCUACACCAAGGGGGAUGGGCCACCGUGUGGAAUUUCAGGAAUUCCUGAAAUUCCUGUUAGCUUCAUGUUGGUAGCUUGAACUCAGCCAUGGUAGAGGUAUUUACACCUCAGAAAUCAGCAAACAUUACAGACCAGGGUACCACUGUUUAGGCUGACAUCCCAAAUCUCCUCCUCCCAGUGUCUGGCCAGGAACAGAGCAGCUGGUCCAAGCAGAUUGCCUCAAGUGCUCAGCAUCCGGCUGCCUUCCAGGGACUCUCCCCUGAUAAAUAUGGAUGCACACCUGGCCAGCAGCAGGCCUGAACCCCUUGCCCCCACACACACACAUACAAGCGUGCACACACACACUCUCAUACUCACACUCUCAUACACUAACACACACACACUCUCUCAUACACUCACAUGCACAUACACCCACACACUCCUACCUGGUGGAUCCCUGGGCAUGGGCAGGGGCAGGAGGGAGGCAGCCCCUGCUCUUGUCAAUCACAGGAACAAGACCCCACUCUCUCUCCUCAGGACUGCCC